rnacentral:rRNA from 1 species
AAUGAACGCUGGCGGCAGGCCUAACACAUGCAAGUCGAACGGAUCCUUCGGGAUUAGUGGCGGACGGGUGAGUAACGCGUGGGAACAUACCCAAAGGUACGGAAUAGCCUCGGGAAACUGGGAGUAAUACCGUAUGUGCUCGAAAGAGGAAAGAUUUAUCGCCUUUGGAUUGGCCCGCGUUGGAUUAGGUAGUUGGUGGGGUAAUGGCCUACCAAGCCGACGAUCCAUAGCUGGUUUGAGAGGAUGAUCAGCCACACUGGGACUGAGACACGGCCCAGACUCCUACUGGAGGCAGCAGUGGGGAAUCUUAGACAAUGGGGGAAACCCUGAUCUAGCCAUGCCGCGUGAUCGAUGAAGGCCUUAGGGUUGUAAAGAUCCUUCAGGUGGGAAGAUAAUGGCUGUACCACCAGAAGAAGCCCCGGCUAACUCCGUGCCAGCCGCCGCCGUAA